rnacentral:lncRNA from 1 species
GCAUUUGUUCAGUUGGUUCAGAGUUCAGUUCUCACAACCACCGCCGAUGAACAGAGAGGGACGAGGAAGGCAUGACGGUAUCGUUGGUGCACUGCAACCCCAGGUGUAGGUUCAGUUCAGAAUGAAUCACCGCCCGCUUCUUCCUGCUAUCCCAGCCAGCACAACUUUCAGGCUCAGGCUUCCUUCUUCAGCUACAAGAGAUGCGAG